rnacentral:rRNA from 1 species
GAUGAACGCUGGCGGCGUGCCUAAUACAUGCAAGUCGAGCGAACGGACGAGGAGCUUGCUCCUCUGACGUUAGCGGCGGACGGGUGAGUAACACGUGGAUAACCUACCUAUAAGACUGGGAUAACUUCGGGAAACCGGAGCUAAUACCGGAUAAUAUAUUGAACCGCAUGGUUCAAUAGUGAAAGACGGUUUUGCUGUCACUUAUAGAUGGAUCCGCGCCGCAUUAGCUAGUUGGUAAGGUAACGGCUUACCAAGGCAACGAUGCGUAGCCGACCUGAGAGGGUGAUCGGCCACACUGGAACUGACACACGGUCCAGACUCCUACGGGAGGCAGCAGUAGGGAAUCUUCCGCAAUGGGCGAAAGCCUGACGGAGCAACGCCGCGUGAGUGAUGAAGGUCUUCGGAUCGUAAAACUCUGUUAUUAGGGAAGAACAAAUGUGUAAGUAACUAUGCACGUCUUGACGGUACCCAAUCAGAAAGCCACGGCUAACUACGUG